rnacentral:lncRNA from 1 species
AUGGCGUACAUGGUCUGUGUUGUCUUCUCACAGUUGGCCUGGCUGAGAGGGGCCAAGGCACCUGGCCAACUCUUAGCACACGGGCCACCUGGGAAAUAUCUAGUGACCCUGGAACUUCCUGGAGUCCUGCUGGAGGCAUCCAGAGGACCCUUGCCUGAGAAGGGCCCUCCCUGUCCCUCCCAGAGCUACACAGAGCCCCUGGGGGUAUGUCUUUCCCUCACAAAGACAUCUUCAUAGCCUGGGAGAGGGCGGCUCAGCUGAUAAAGGACUUGCCCUGAAAUCUUGACCACUUGAGUUUGAUCCCUGGUAGAGGGAAAGGAACUAAGUCUUUUGCCUCAGGCCAUGGCAGAAGUGAACCUGAUGGUGCUGCUGCUGAUAAUGAGGAUGGAGGAGGAGGAGGAGAAGGAGGAGGAGGAGGAGGAGGAGGAGGAGGAGGAAGAG